UCAGCUGAGGCUGGAAUCUUAGUGGAAUUGUCUCCAUAGCACUCCCUGCAUCUUACAGAGGCGUUGCUGUGCUGUGUGCAUAGAGAUCCAGUCCUGUCACUGGGCAACAGGGCAGCCCAAGUGGUGGGGCUCGUGGAUAUAAGACUCUCAUAAGAAACCCAGGAUGUUUGUUGAAGGGCUCACCAUGUUCCACUUUCUCUAAGCCUGAGCCUUUCCUUUCAUGGUUAUCUCCUGCUUGAAGCUCUAAGUGUGGAAAGCAGCCUUCUAGAAUGAUCCUUGCCUAUAUCAAAGACAACAGGUGGAAAUAGAUCUCAUGGGUCAGCUUGCCCACAGAGUGCCUAGCCAGGAGCAUGGCCAACAGAAACGAGUAGCAGUGCCCAAGAUGAGAGCUUGGGCUCUGAAACGCCUCCGUUGUGGGGCUCAGCGGGUACCUUGAGUGCAUACUAAAAAAGGAAGCUCAAGGUUUCUCCCCAAAUACCCUUGAAUCACUGUCUGCCUCCCUCCUGCAUGAGCUCUGCCCUCCAGUCCUGCCAGGAGGAGGGCAUUUGAUGUCUUAAGAUAAAGGAUACUGCUGAGGGAGCAGUCAGAGGUGGCCACUGGAAGCAUUCCAGCAGUGGGAAGUGAGCACACACUAUAAAUUCCUCAGACUUUGGGUUCCCUGAUGGAAUUAGAAGUGCCAAGAACUGCUUGGUAAGGGCAUAAGGUAGGAUAGUCUGUCAGGCUUCCCUGUGAACUGGGAGGUGACCAUAGGAGGCUCUCAGCUACCCUAUACAGUGGAUUUAUGGGCCUUGGGGCCCCUGAAAUGCCACUCUCCUGCCUGUACUGUCCUCUGCACUGAGGACAGACCCCCUUCUGGUAAGAGAAGAGAUUAUCUCUCCUUGCAGUGGAGCACUGGUGAGAUUCUGGUAGGAGCAUUGUUGCACCCUAACAAGCUCAUCUUGAGUACCUGGAAUUGCAUGUUGCCAAAACCCUCCCCAAGCACCUUGAGGGGACAGCCAACAUGCUUGGGUAGUGGAUCCAGGAAUUCUUGGAGCCAACAUUGUUGAAACAGGAGAGAGACUUUCAGAGGCCCCCAUUGCCUGGGCGUCCUGCCUGGGGAAGUAGCCAGGCCUCUCAGGUCACUGUCUAUCCUGACUCAGAGGCUGGCACAGUGCAUGGCCCUUCUGCCUGAAUCUUACCCUAACCAGGACUGUUUCCCCAGGCGGGGUUUGAUGCCACCGUAAGGAAUGAUACCUGAUGAGCCCUCGGCGUGAACCAAGUGGGCGUCUAGCAUUUUCUCUGCCACCCCAUGAGAAAGUGCUGCAUCACCCCGUGUCACAGUUGGUUUAUGUUUCGCUGUGCCAACAUUUCACUGAAAGUGGCUCUGGGUGUGUCCUGUCCCUGCCUGCAGGCUCCUUAUCCCAAGAAACCUCCUGAAGUUGUCCCAGAACUGUGGGGACACUUUUGGAUUCAAACCCUUCCCGGAGAGGAUUUUGGUCCUAGAUCUCUGGUGCCAUCUUCUUUCUCCUUUACUACCUUUGGUCCCCAUCAUCACAAAGCGCACCCCCACUGGCCCCUCUCUGCUGCCACUGCAGGAGAGACCCAGCCAAAUGCAGUUCCCGUCUGGAGGGUGUUUACCUCGGCAAAGAAAAGCUCUCUCCAUUCCUGGCAGAACGAGGCUUCCAUGGAGCUUCUGGAAUUGAUUCUGCCGAAGAAAACAGCUCAGAUGCCUCCUUGCAUUCAGCUUGUUAGUCAGGAACUUCAAGGCCAAAAGAUUUGGCAGGAUUUAAAGAGUCGGCUCUCAAGCUGUCUCGUUUUGAGCACACUAAUGCUGCCUGUCUUUUGAUGGUAAAGUGGGUUCACAGUCUCCCUCUCCUGCCCUUUGUAGAGCUUUGGUAAGUACUGUAGACUUUUCAGAAUCAGAGACUACCGAAGGACCAGAGCAGCUAGCCUGUCCCAUCGCUUUCCACCAGAGGAGUGAGGUUCAGAGACGGCAGGGGGGUUUACUGAGGCCACACAGCAAGCCGCAAUGGAAACAGCCUCGUGUAUCCCAUUUAGUUACAACCGUGGCUCAUUUCUCAUUCAGUCCACUCAAUAAACAUAAUCUGUUCUCCCACUCAGAGCUGAGCACUAAGGUGAACAUUUGGGGGAAGUGCAGAUGGACAGAUGGACAGUGUGCAGUUGCUGACACACACACUCCUUUCUCGGAAGGCCAGGGGCUGCAUCAAGAACAUAUAAUCUUGCCCCGAGGGCACCGGUUCAGGAGCAGCUUGAGAUGGGUGCCUAUGCCAGAUGCUGCUCUCUGAGGAGAGGCUGCAGGACAGCCCCAGGGUCAGGAACUCGGGGAGGCACAUCUGCCUCUGCUCCCUUCUCCGUGCUCCCAGGCCAGACCUUGGUGGUAUCCUCCUGACCUGCCAGGUACUGCCCAGUACACCUGUCCUACUCCAGCCUGGCAUGCAUAGGAGAGUCUGGUCUCUCACCUUCCAGGCCAUGGGCAAGUCAGCUUUGGAGUCACCCAGAAGUAGGAGCAGAGAGAACAAACUUCAUCUGACACAGGCCUGCUUUGCCUGAGGCCAUGUUGCCUUGCCCUAGGUGGUGCCAAGCCUGGGCCUCAGCCCAGAGAGUUCGUGCAGUACAGACAGCAGCAUGAGAGUUGGCGGUUCAGAGCCAGAGAAACAUGAGAGUCACAAACUAGACUCGCUCUGGGAAAAGGUUGAUAGGCACGUUUUCUGCUAUCCUUUCUGACAUGUCAUCUGUCAUUUUGCAUUUGAAUCCUGGAAUAAAUCUGAACCCUCAUCUGGGCUUGACUGCUAGUAUCUUGAGCAUCUACUGGGCAGGUUUCUCUGUCACCCAAGCCACCGUUGAGGUCAUUCCCUGCAGCAGGAUGGGCCGUGCUGUGAGACCCAGUGCUCUUUCAGCUUCUUCUCUUCUUUCUACAGCUCACUCUGCAGAGCGCCAAGUCCCGAGUGGCCUUCUUUGAAGAACUCUAGCAGGUGACCCGGCCACCUCCUGCCACAUCUGCUGCUCCUGACACCAACAGGAUGGGCCUGACCCAAAAGGAACCAUCAGUAGAGGGCUGGCUUGUUUGGGAACUCUUGAGUUGAGGGCCCCGUGCCACUCUGACCCUAUAGAGAGGUUUCUCAAUGUGUUCUAGUUCUCCUUGCCUCCUGCAUACCUGCAUAUCUCUCUCUCCCUCCCUCUCUCUCUCUCUCCUUCUCUCUCUCUCUCUCUCUCUCUCUCUCUCUCUCUCUCUCUCUCUUAUAUAAAUACUUGUUGUGUGUGGGCUGCCAUCCUUCCUGCACCCAAGCACUGUGGUGCACGGGUUGCUGUGCUUGCUGACAUUGAGAAUCGGCUGUGGGAGUCCAGUGUGAAAGCUGGCUGAAAUCUACCAUGCAGGUGCUACCCACUCCCCAACUGGGCUUCUGGGAUGGGCCUCCCCUCCAAGCAUGGGGUAGAAGUGUGGACUGGCUUAGCUCAGAACCAGCAAUGGGGGUUGGGGAUUUAGCUCAGUGAGAGCGCUUACUCGGGCCCUGGGUUCGGUCCUCAGCUCUGGGGGGGG
rnacentral:lncRNA from 1 species